GGUAGGAUGGCUGAGUGUUAAGCGGUGGUUUGUAGCUCCAUAAACAAGGGUUCAAAUCCCUUUCUUACCA
rnacentral:tRNA from 1 species